UACGGGGGGGGCAAGCGUUGUUCGGAAUUACUGGGCGUAAAGCGCACGUAGGCGGCUUUCUAAGUCGGGGGUGAAAUCCUGGAGCUCAACUCCAGAACUGCCUUCGAUACUGGAAAGCUCGAGUCCGGGAGAGGUGAGUGGAACUGCGAGUGUAGAGGUGAAAUUCGUAGAUAUUCGCAAGAACACCAGUGGCGAAGGCGGCUCACUGGACCGGUACUGACGCUGAGGCGCGAAAGCGUGGGAGCAAACGGG
rnacentral:rRNA from 1 species